rnacentral:rRNA from 1 species
CCCUUAGAUGUCCUGGGCCGCACGCGCGCUACACUGACAUGUUCAACAAGCCUCCUAGUUCGACAGGAUUUGGGAAAUCUUUGAACGCAUGUCGUGAUAGGGAUAGAUCAUUGCAAUUAUUGAUCUAGAACGAGGAAUUCCUAGUAAACGCGAGUCAUCAGCUCGCAUUGAUUACGUCCCUGCCCUUUGUACACACCGCCCGUCGCACCUACCGAUUGAAUGUUUCGGUGAAGAUUCCGGAUAGGACUUUUUUGAUUUAUUUCAAUUUUGUCUUAAAAGCUAUCUAAACCUCAACAUUUAGAGGAAGGUGAAGUCGUAACA